UACGUAGGCAGCGAGCGUUGUUCGGAAUUACUGGGCGUAAAGAGUGUGUAGGCGGUGCUCCCAGUCUGUUGUGAAAUCUCCCGGCUUAACUGGGAGGGUGCAGCGGAAACUAGAGUGCUAGAGGGUGGGAGAGGUAAGCGGAAUUCCUGGUGUAGCGGUGAAAUGCGUAGAUAUCAGGAGGAACACCUGUGGUGUAGACAGCUUACUGGACCACUUCUGACGCUGAGACACGAAGCGUGGGUAGCAAACAG
rnacentral:rRNA from 1 species